rnacentral:rRNA from 1 species
UUAAGCGACUAAGCGUACACGGUGGAUGCCCUGGCAGUCAGAGGCGAUGAAGGACGUGCUAAUCUGCGAUAAGCGUCGGUGAGGUGAUAUGAACCGUUAUAACCGGCGAUUUCCGAAUGGGGAAACCCAGUGUGUUUCGACACACUAUCAUUAACUGAAUCCAUAGGUUAAUGAGGCGAACCGGGGGAACUGAAACAUCUAAGUACCCCGAGGAAAAGAAAUCAACCGAGAUUCCCCCAGUAGCGGCGAGCGAACGGGGAGGAGCCCAGAGCCUGAAUCAGUGUGUGUGUUAGUGGAAGCGUCUGGAAAGGCGCGCGAUACAGGGUGACAGCCCCGUACACAAAAAUGCACAUAUUGUGAGCUCGAUGAGUAGGGCGGGACACGUGGUAUCCUGUCUGAAUAUGGGGGGACCAUCCUCCAAGGCUAAAUACUCCUGACUGACCGAUAGUGAACCAGUACCGUGAGGGAAAGGCGAAAAGAACCCCGGCGAGGGGAGUGAAAAAGAACCUGAAACCGUGUACGUACAAGCAGUGGGAGCCUCUUAAUGGGGUGACUGCGUACCUUUUGUAUAAUGGGUCAGCGACUUAUAUUCUGUAGCAAGGUUAACCGAAUAGGGGAGCCGAAGGGAAACCGAGUCUUAACUGGGCGUUAAGUUGCAGGGUAUAGACCCGAAACCCGGUGAUCUAGCCAUGGGCAGGUUGAAGGUUGGGUAACACUAACUGGAGGACCGAACCGACUAAUGUUGAAAAAUUAGCGGAUGACUUGUGGCUGGGGGUGAAAGGCCAAUCAAACCGGGAGAUAGCUGGUUCUCCCCGAAAGCUAUUUAGGUAGCGCCUCGUGAAUUCAUCUCCGGGGGUAGAGCACUGUUUCGGCAAGGGGGUCAUCCCGACUUACCAACCCGAUGCAAACUGCGAAUACCGGAGAAUGUUAUCACGGGAGACACACGGCGGGUGCUAACGUCCGUCGUGAAGAGGGAAACAACCCAGACCGCCAGCUAAGGUCCCAAAGUCAUGGUUAAGUGGGAAACGAUGUGGGAAGGCCCAGACAGCCAGGAUGUUGGCUUAGAAGCAGCCAUCAUUUAAAGAAAGCGUAAUAGCUCACUGGUCGAGUCGGCCUGCGCGGAAGAUGUAACGGGGCUAAACCAUGCACCGAAGCUGCGGCAGCGACGCUUAUGCGUUGUUGGGUAGGGGAGCGUUCUGUAAGCCUGUGAAGGUGGCCUGUGAGGGUUGCUGGAGGUAUCAGAAGUGCGAAUGCUGACAUAAGUAACGAUAAAGCGGGUGAAAAGCCCGCUCGCCGGAAGACCAAGGGUUCCUGUCCAACGUUAAUCGGGGCAGGGUGAGUCGACYCCUAAGGCGAGGCCGAAAGGCGUAGUCGAUGGGAAACAGGUUAAUAUUCCUGUACUUGGUGUUACUGCGAAGGGGGGACGGAGAAGGCUAUGUUGGCCGGGCGACGGUUGUCCCGGUUUAAGCGUGUAGGCUGGUUUUCCAGGCAAAUCCGGAAAAYCAAGGCUGAGGCGUGAUGACGAGGCACUACGGUGCUGAAGYRACAAAUGCCCUGCUUCCAGGAAAAGCCUCUAAGCAUCAGGUAACAUCAAAUCGUACCCCAAACCGACACAGGUGGUCAGGUAGAGAAUACCAAGGCGCUUGAGAGAACUCGGGUGAAGGAACUAGGCAAAAUGGUGCCGUAACUUCGGGAGAAGGCACGCUGAUAUGUAGGUGAAGCGACUUGCUCGUGGAGCUGAAAUCAGUCGAAGAUACCAGCUGGCUGCAACUGUUUAUUAAAAACACAGCACUGUGCAAACACGAAAGUGGACGUAUACGGUGUGACGCCUGCCCGGUGCCGGAAGGUUAAUUGAUGGGGUUAGCGGUAACGCGAAGCUCUUGAUCGAAGCCCCGGUAAACGGCGGCCGUAACUAUAACGGUCCUAAGGUAGCGAAAUUCCUUGUCGGGUAAGUUCCGACCUGCACGAAUGGCGUAAUGAUGGCCAGGCUGUCUCCACCCGAGACUCAGUGAAAUUGAACUCGCUGUGAAGAUGCAGUGUACCCGCGGCAAGACGGAAAGACCCCGUGAACCUUUACUAUAGCUUGACACUGAACAUUGAGCCUUGAUGUGUAGGAUAGGUGGGAGGCUUUGAAGUGUGGACGCCAGUCUGCAUGGAGCCGACCUUGAAAUACCACCCUUUAAUGUUUGAUGUUCUAACGUUGGCCCGUAAUCCGGGUUGCGGACAGUGUCUGGUGGGUAGUUUGACUGGGGCGGUCUCCUCCUAAAGAGUAACGGAGGAGCACGAAGGUUGGCUAAUCCUGGUCGGACAUCAGGAGGUUAGUGCAAUGGCAUAAGCCAGCUUGACUGCGAGCGUGACGGCGCGAGCAGGUGCGAAAGCAGGUCAUAGUGAUCCGGUGGUUCUGAAUGGAAGGGCCAUCGCUCAACGGAUAAAAGGUACUCCGGGGAUAACAGGCUGAUACCGCCCAAGAGUUCAUAUCGACGGCGGUGUUUGGCACCUCGAUGUCGGCUCAUCACAUCCUGGGGCUGAAGUAGGUCCCAAGGGUAUGGCUGUUCGCCAUUUAAAGUGGUACGCGAGCUGGGUUUAGAACGUCGUGAGACAGUUCGGUCCCUAUCUGCCGUGGGCGCUGGAGAACUGAGGGGGGCUGCUCCUAGUACGAGAGGACCGGAGUGGACGCAUCACUGGUGUUCGGGUUGUCAUGCCAAUGGCACUGCCCGGUAGCUAAAUGCGGAAGAGAUAAGUGCUGAAAGCAUCUAAGCACGAAACUUGCCCCGAGAUGAGUUCUCCCUGAGACUU